rnacentral:rRNA from 1 species
AUGGCAGGGAGCAGGACCGCUCCGAUGACCAGGCAAAACUGCCGACGUUUAGGUUUACAUGCUUCUCAAGAUGAAGCACAAGUCUCAGCUGUUGCAAACAUUGAAAAUGUGAACUCAGCUAGUGCCCCAGCAUCUGAUGCUCAGGCCACUCCAAUAUCUGAAGCUGCUCCAUCUCAAAUUGCUACUGCUGGUACAACAAGCAAAGUUGGUAGUAAGAGGAAGCUCACAUCAGCAGUAUGGGAUGAGAUGGAAAAGAAACUUAUUAAUGGAGUAUGGAAAGCUGAAUGCAAUUAUUGUCACACAAAACUUAGUGCUCUUGGUACACAUGGCACCAAACACUUGCAUGCUCAUUUGGCCUCUUGUCCUGCUAGGCAUGUACCUAUGGGUCCAAAGCAACAAAAAUUAAAGUUGACAGUGGCUGAAGGUGGAAAAGUAAAUGUUGAAAAUUACACUUUUGAUCAAGAGAAGGCUAGGAGAGAGCUUGCACUGAUGAUCUGCGAACAUGAGUACCCUUUAUCUAUGGUGGAUCACCAUGGUUUUCGUAGGUUUUGUUCUUAUUUGCAACCAUUGUUCAAGAUGGUGAGCAGAAAUACUAUUAGGAAUGACAUUGUAGCUAUGCAUUCUACUCAGAAGGAGAAGAUGGUGAAUUUUUUUGCAAGCUUCAAACACCGAGUGGCUGUCACUACAGAUUUGUGGACAGCAGGCUAUCAAAAGAGAGGUUACAUGGCUGUUACGGCACACUACAUAGAUGAUUCUUGGAACCUGAAGAGCUUUCUUAUAAGGUUUGCUUAUGUGCCAUGCCCACAUACAGCUGAGGUCAUAUGUGAAGCCUUGUAUGAGUGUCUUGUUGAGUGGCACCUAGAGAGGAAGAUUUCCACUGUCACAUUGGACAACUGCACAUCUAAUGAGAAAGCUAUGACCAUAUUGCCAGAUAAGUUGGAUACUAGCUCUCUUAUGUUAGAUGGCCAGUUUCUGCAUAUGCGUUGUGCUGCUCACAUAUUAAACCUGAUUGUGAAAGAUGGAAUGAGUGUCUUAGAGGAAGGUGUAGAGAGAGUACGUGAUAGUGUUGCAUUUUGGUCGGCAACACCUAAAAGGCAUGAAAAGUUUGAAAAGAUGGCAAAAACAUUGAACAUAGAGUAUAACAGAAGGUUAAAUCUUGACUGUAAGACUAGAUGGAAUUCAACUUACCUUAUGAUAAGCAUUGCUCUACAAUACAUAGAGAUAUUUGAAAAAUUGAAGGCACGUGAAAAGAAAUUUGAUUGCUGCCCAACCAAAGAUGAUUGGAAGUUUGCAAAGGAAAUGUGUGAUAGGUUGAAGCUCUUCUUUGAUAUCACUGAGUCAUUUUCAGGAACUAAGUAUGUAACAGCAAAUCUCUUUUUCCCUAAAGUAGUUACCAUUCGUUUGGCCAUAAGGAAAUGGGGUAAAAGUGAAAAUGAGCUUAUACAAAAAAUGUCAGAGGAAAUGAAGGAUAAAUUUGAGAAGUAUUGGAAAGAUAUACAUGGUCUUAUGGCAGUUGCAACAGUCCUUGAUCCAAGGUACAAACUUCAUAUUCUCAAUGCUCUAUAUGGUCCUCUGUACGGAAGACAUCAUGCAGCCAAAGAAAUAGAGAAAGUGAGGGGGUUAAUGUUUGACUUGGUAAAGCAAUACCAAGAUAAAGCAGAAUGUGAGGAUACAUGGGAUGCUUCUGCUACUUCAAUCCCAUCUGGAGAAGAGGAUGAAGCCAUGAAACUCUUGGAUCUUUAUAUGUCCAAUCGUGUCGUUACACCUUCUUCUUCUUCUUUGUCCCAUAAAGAAUUGGAAUUGUAUUUGGAAGAAGCUCCUCUGCCUAGAACACAAGACCUGGACAUCAUUGAUUGGUGGAAGGUUGGGGGCGUCAAGUAUCCUACCUUACAAAAACUUGCUCGUGAUAUAUUGCCUAUUCCUAUAACAUCCGUUGCUUCAGAAUGUGCAUUCAGUACUAGUGGUAGAGUUCUUAGUGCACACCGUAGUAGACUUACUCCUAAUGUGGCUGAAGCUCUCAUGUGCAUGCAAGCUUGGUCUCGUGCUGAUCUAUUAGGUGGCCGGAAUUCCACUCUCUUUGCAACAUUACAAAGUGUUCUUGAGGACAAUGAAGAAGAGAUGGAUGAAUCUACUUCAAUUAUCACUCAAGAAUGA